CUGUCGAUGCAGGCUGUUCAUAUAUCUAAAUCAUAUGUGAAGAAAGGGCAGGGCAAGACCGGUGCCAGCCGCCGCGGUAAUACCGGCUGCUCGAGUGAUGGCCACUAUUACUGGGUUUAAAGCGUCCGUAGCUUGACUGUUAGGUCUCUUGGGAAAUCUUCGCGCUCAACGUGAAGGCGUCUAAGAGAUACCGGCAGUCUUGGAACUGGGAGAGGUAAACCGUACUUCGGGGGUAGGAGUGAAAUCUUGUAAUCCUCGAGGGACGACCUAUGGCGAAGGCAGUUUACCAGAACAGCUUCGACAGUGAGGGACGAAAGCUGGGGGAGCAAACGGGAUUAGAUACCCCGGUAGUCCCAGCCGUAAACAAUGUGCGUUAGGUGUGUCGGUAACCACGUGUUACUGAUGCGCCGAAGAGAAAUCGUGAAACGCACCACCUGGGAAGUACGGUCGCAAGGCUGAAACUUAAAGGAAUUGGCGGGGGAGCACCACAACAGGUGGAGCCUGCGGUUUAAUUGGAUUCAACGCCGGACAUCUCACCGGAUAAGACAGCUGAAUGAUUGUCAAUCUGAAGGUUUUACAUGACUAGCUGAGAAGAAGGGCAUGGCCACAA
rnacentral:rRNA from 1 species